rnacentral:rRNA from 1 species
GAGACAGCAGUAGCCGCGGUAAUACGAAGGGUGCAGGCGUUAAUCGGAAUUACUGGGCGUAAAGCGUGCGUAGGCGGUGAGUUAAGUCUGCUGUGAAAUCCCCGGGCUCAACCUGGGAAUGGCAGUGGAUACUGGCUCGCUAGAGUGUGUCAGAGGAUGGUGGAAUUCCCGGUGUAGCGGUGAAAUGCGUAGAGAUCGGGAGGAACAUCAGUGGCGAAGGCGGCCAUCUGGGACAACACUGACGCUGAGGCACGAAAGCGUGGGGAGCAAACAGGAUUAGAUACCCCCGUAGUCCCUGUCUCUUAUAC